CUAAACCACCGGUUAAGCUAAGUGAAGUAAGUAGCGUUCCGGUCCACUAGGGGUCGGGGCGUUACACAAAUGAUUUUUCGCUAGACAUUAUUUAAAUGCUUCAUUCUUGUCCCCAGAACCCAAUGAUAUACAAUAUUUCUUUUUCCUCCUCCUAUUUCUCUCCCUGCCUUUCCUCUCCCUCAAAUGGAAGUGAUAUUUCAAAGUGGAAUUGGCUCUGUUGCAAGCGGGAGUUACCAUAUGGGUUAACAGCCUUGGCCUAUCCAUGUGCUCUCCACCCUGGCUCCUGGGAGGCACAUCCUGCGAUUUACCUCCUCCACGAUGGCCCAGGGCAGGGUCAGUGGGGGCCCCUAAGGUUGGGGUUCAAUCUUUUUUGAUAUUUGGAGAAACAAAAUCCUGGUUCCAAACCACUGUGGAAUUUAUUGAAAUUAACUGUAUGUAUUAUGAACUAGUGUUUUGCAAGUUUCUUGUGCAACUUGUUCUUAAGAGUGCUUGCUGUUAUUAAUUAUUGAGAAUAUUUGAUAAUACUAAAUGUCACUUAGUUUUGACGGGGUAAUGUUGUUGGUAUUUCGAGUUUUGAUAGACAUUGAAACCUUGUGAGUACUUGGUCAAGCGGAAUGCGGCUUGACAGGCAGGAAUUGAUAGUGGACACGAAAGCAAUGAUGGAGCAGGAUCAUCUUGGAACCCUUUAAAGCGUUGGAUGUGCAACUUAUUUCACAUUCCCAGAUUGUUUCACCAAAUUAUGGUUUUCUGUCAGUGUUAAAGAAGAAACACACUGGCGGUAUGUCGUGUAAACCAUAAUUCAAGCACUCGCUUGGCUGCAGUAUUUCUGAUAAAGCUUGUAGAAUCGAUUUACUGCAAUGUCAUCACUCAAGGUUAGGGAGGAUAGCAUGGAGAAAAUUGAGGAAGCUAUAGAUUAUGUGAACGAUCGGCUUCCUUGGAUGAUUACUGCAAGCCAGGGGCAAUGAUCGUAAGUUGAAUGCAUCCAAUAAAAAUGAGGAACAAAGUCCUUCAAAACUGAUUAAUCAAAUGUAUAGCUACACUGCUUAUGAUUCAGAUACUCGAUUAUGCUGCUACAAGUUUGCAACCAUGCUGUUCGCAGCCUUCCUGUUUAUGCUAAAAUACAGAAGUGCAUGGUUUUCAUCAAUAGCCAAAUAUUGCAGGAAGAUGCGUUAUGGCAUUAUGUUUCUAUCGAGUUUGGUUUUGAACCUAAAAGGUCCCUGGAAACGUUCAUGAUCACAUUAGAGGAGCCUGGGAAGUUUAGAAAGACAUAUUGUUGCAGUCAUUUUUCCCUUAUCUGCUUAUUGGCAGGAAGUGAAGAACUAGCAGAACUUCUCAAGAGGACCGUAGAUAGUCAAAAUGUAUCCUUUCUUGAUGCUGCAAGAUUUGCAGGAUAUGCAAACCAUCUGGAGGACUUAGCCAGCGUGUUUCUGAAGAAAGAAGUUAUUCUGCUCUCAUAGAGUUAAAGAUAGAGCAAGGUCCAAUUUUGGAAUAGGAAGCUACAUUUAGUGGAGUGGUGACAGCUAUUACCGCUCCGACGACCAUCAAAUUGGACUUUGAAGGCAAUGGAGACCAUACAGGAGCAGUCUUGAUGUCUAUGAGAAUAUCUCCAAUGGGCAUGAUUUUCAUUCCAUUUUAUGAAGGUAUGGUCUCUUACAUCCUUCUAUAUAAUUUAUCUCAUGUUCAACUCGAAGGAUUGCAAAUUUUAUGGAAGCGAUACAACCCCCGACAGGGCCCACCAGAUUCGAUGUUAUUGUCUAACAUGGUCCAUGCAGGAUUCGGUCCAUACUGUGCUUGAGUUCGAAUCAUCGAGGACGCGAAUUACACCCACGUUGGGGCCCAACCCCUUGCUAACAGUACAUAAGCUACUGUUAAGGACCGAAUCUCGCAUGGACCAUGUUGGGGAAAUAUGGCCGACUACAAUGGACCAUGGUUGGGGGGAUCAGAUCGUUACAAUCACUAUCAUUAAAACUUUAGCCUCUAUUUGAUAUUUUAUAAAUCAUUUGUAAAUGGUGAAAUUUCAUUUUCAA